rnacentral:misc_RNA from 1 species
AGAAACAAAAUUAGGAAUCAAGCGCUUUUGAGAUCAAGAUUUUCACUCAUCUUCGACAUGCUACUUUUGUUAUUUACGCUGCAGUGUGGUUGAUGUGAAAGUUGUGACCGUAUAUUAAAUAAUAGCUGCGUAAUAUUGCACAUGCAUUCAGUUAUCCGUCAGAAAUUGUUCAUUAUAAUAAGUGCUCAAUUAAAUUUACACUUAUUGAUAAAUCAAACUGAAGGAGUUUCCCCAAUUGCGGGUCAGUUUUCCUGAAACACAUUUUUUGUGGGUUUACGAUAACAUGUAAGAGGGAAAGAAGAAAAAAUAAAUUGAAUAAAAUAUUCCAUGCCACUCUGUUGUCAUCAUAUUUAUCUUGUUCGUUAUUUGUUUUUUGGUUUUUUUUUUGCUUUUAUUAUAUUUUAGUGUCACACAAUGAUUUAUUUCGUUCUGAAUCACUGCCCUCAUUUACAUUUAGAAAUGGGUCCCUGUUACUUGUGUAUCAUUGGUUUUAAAUAUUUUUUCCUGAGUGGCAAUAUUUUUUCAAUGCUACAAAUUAAUAAAAAUCGUUUUCAUUGGUUUUAAAUAUUUUUCCCUGAGUGGCAAUAUUUUUUCAAUGCUACAAAUUAAUAAAAAUCGUUUUCCAAAACGAUUCCCCGACAUUACAGAUACCUUAAAGUCACAUGACCCGGAAAUGGCCUUGUUGAAAUACCUCCGUAAAUAUUGUUCCUGGGAAUUCAUUUUGAAAAAGAAAUGACUGUUUAAUAGAUCACAAACUGUACUUUCAAUAUGUAUAUAGUAUAAAAUAAAAAUUGAACAACUUU